AUUUAAUCUUACUAUCCUUUUUGUUAUUUGCUUGUUUAUUUGUAUGUCCUGUUUUACAGAUAAGAAAACUGAACUUAGAAAGACAUUCUACUAUGUCAUAGACCCGUAUGUUAGGAAGCUACAUAGAGUUAUUCAGGAUGAGUCAUCAAGUUGAAGACACCCAGCAACCACCACACGACAUGAACUGAGAAAGUACAAAAGAUGUUGAAACACCACGAGUGCCAGUCCGAGCAUCACUUUCGAGGUGUCACAAAGAAUUCCCUUUCUCACCUUGCCCAGGGCAUGAAGCCUUCCAACCAGACCCGCAGAACUGCAACCAAGCCAGUCUGUACAUAAAAGGAGGGAACCAGCCCUGGCACCUGAAGUUUGUGUGUUCUUUCUCAGCAGGGAUGGCCAAAUGGCAACGUACAGAGCAGCUGCUUUUCAGUGUAAAGACUGAGGACUACCGGAGUCUCAGGCAAGAAAAGAAUGGAAGAGGGGGAAAGGGACCCUCUGAAUGCUGGCACAUGGGAGAAGGCAUCCCCCCAAUUUAUAAUAAAUGAAUGUUGGAGUAAAUCUCUUCA
rnacentral:lncRNA from 1 species